UAGGGAAUCUUGCGCAAUGGGCGAAAGCCUGACGCAGCCAUGCCGCGUGAACGAUGAAGGUCUUAGGAUUGUAAAAUUCUUUCACCGGGGAAGAUAAUGACGGUACCCGGAGAAGAAGCCCCGGCUAACUUCGUGCCAGCAGCCGCGGUAAUACGAAGGGGGCUAGCGUUGCUCGGAAUUACUGGGCGUAAAGGGCGCGUAGGCGGAUAUUUAAGUUGGGGGUGAAAGCCCGGGGCUCAACCUCGGAAUAGCCUUCAAUACUGGAUAUCUUGAGUUCGGGAGAGGUGAGUGGAAUGCCGAGUGUAGAGGUGAAAUUCGUAGAUAUUCGGCGGAACACCAGUGGCGAAGGCGACUCACUGGCCCGAUACUGACGCUGAGGCGCGAAAGCGUGGGGAGCAAACAGGAUUAGAUACCCUGGUAGUCCACGCCGUAAAACGAUGAGUGCUAGUUGUCGGCAUACAUGCAUGUCGGUGACGCAGCUAACGCAUUAAGCACUCCGCCUGGGGAGUACGGUCGCAAGAUUAAAACUUAAAUGAAUUGACGGGGUCAUAGCUGUUUCCUG
rnacentral:rRNA from 1 species